rnacentral:rRNA from 1 species
GGUUAAGCGACUAAGCGUACACGGUGGAUGCCCUGGCAGUCAGAGGCGAUGAAGGACGUGCUAAUCUGCGAAAAGCGUCGGUAAGGUGAUAUGAACCGUUAUAACCGGCGAUGUCCGAAUGGGGAAACCCAGUGUGAUUCGUCACACUAUCGUUAACUGAAUACAUAGGUUAACGAGGCGAACCGGGGGAACUGAAACAUCUAAGUACCCCGAGGAAAAGAAAUCAACCGAGAUUCCCCCAGUAGCGGCGAGCGAACGGGGAGCAGCCCAGAGUCUGAAUCAGCUUGUGUGUUAGUGGAACGGUCUGGAAAGUCCGACGGUACAGGGUGAUAGUCCCGUACACCAAAAUGCACAGGCUGUGAACUCGAAGAGUAGGGCGGGACACGUGGUAUCCUGUCUGAAUAUGGGGGGACCAUCCUCCAAGGCUAAAUACUCCUGACUGACCGAUAGUGAACCAGUACCGUGAGGGAAAGGCGAAAAGAACCCCGGCGAGGGGAGUGAAAAAGAACCUGAAACCGUGUACGUACAAGCAGUGGGAGCACCUUCGGGUGUGACUGCGUACCUUUUGUAUAAUGGGUCAGCGACUUAUAUUCUGUAGCAAGGUUAACCGUAUAGGGGAGCCGCAGGGAAACCGAGUCUUAACUGGGCGUUAAGUUGCAGGGUAUAGACCCGAAACCCGGUGAUCUAGCCAUGGGCAGGUUGAAGGUUGGGUAACACUAACUGGAGGACCGAACCGACUAAUGUUGAAAAAUUAGCGGAUGACUUGUGGCUGGGGGUGAAAGGCCAAUCAAACCGGGAGAUAGCUGGUUCUCCCCGAAAGCUAUUUAGGUAGCGCCUCGUGAAUUCAUCUUCGGGGGUAGAGCACUGUUUCGGCUAGGGGGUCAUCCCGACUUACCAACCCGAUGCAAACUACGAAUACCGAAGAAUGUUAUCACGGGAGACACACGGCGGGUGCUAACGUCCGUCGUGAAGAGGGAAACAACCCAGACCGCCAGCUAAGGUCCCAAAGUCAUGGUUAAGUGGGAAACGAUGUGGGAAGGCACAGACAGCCAGGAUGUUGGCUUAGAAGCAGCCAUCAUUUAAAGAAAGCGUAAUAGCUCACUGGUCGAGUCGGCCUGCGCGGAAGAUGUAACGGGGCUAAACCAUGCACCGAAGCUGCGGCAGCGACACUAUGUGUUGUUGGGUAGGGGAGCGUUCUGUAAGCCUGCGAAGGUGUGCUGUGAGGCAUGCUGGAGGUAUCAGAAGUGCGAAUGCUGACAUAAGUAACGAUAAAGCGGGUGAAAAGCCCGCUCGCCGGAAGACCAAGGGUUCCUGUCCAACGUUAAUCGGGGCAGGGUGAGUCGACCCCUAAGGCGAGGCCGAAAGGCGUAGUCGAUGGGAAACAGGUUAAUAUUCCUGUACUUGGUGUUACUGCGAAGGGGGGACGGAGAAGGCUAUGUUAGCCGGGCGACGGUUGUCCCGGUUUAAGCAUGUAGGCUGGUUGUCCAGGCAAAUCCGGAUAAUCAAGGCUGAGGUGUGAUGACGAGGCACUACGGUGCUGAAGUAACAAAUGCCCUGCUUCCAGGAAAAGCCUCUAAGCAUCAGGUAACAUCAAAUCGUACCCCAAACCGACACAGGUGGUCAGGUAGAGAAUACCAAGGCGCUUGAGAGAACUCGGGUGAAGGAACUAGGCAAAAUGGUGCCGUAACUUCGGGAGAAGGCACGCUGGUGUGUAGGUGAAGUCCCUGCGGAUGGAGCUGAGACCAGUCGAAGAUACCAGCUGGCUGCAACUGUUUAUUAAAAACACAGCACUGUGCAAACACGAAAGUGGACGUAUACGGUGUGACGCCUGCCCGGUGCCGGAAGGUUAAUUGAUGGGGUUAUCCGUAAGGAGAAGCUCUUGAUCGAAGCCCCGGUAAACGGCGGCCGUAACUAUAACGGUCCUAAGGUAGCGAAAUUCCUUGUCGGGUAAGUUCCGACCUGCACGAAUGGCGUAAUGAUGGCCAGGCUGUCUCCACCCGAGACUCAGUGAAAUUGAACUCGCUGUGAAGAUGCAGUGUACCCGCGGCAAGACGGAAAGACCCCGUGAACCUUUACUAUAGCUUGACACUGAACAUUGAGCCUUGAUGUGUAGGAUAGGUGGGAGGCUUUGAAGCGUGGACGCCAGUCUGCGUGGAGCCAACCUUGAAAUACCACCCUUUAAUGUUUGAUGUUCUAACGUUGGCCCCUUACCGGGGUUGCGGACAGUGUCUGGUGGGUAGUUUGACUGGGGCGGUCUCCUCCCAAAGCGUAACGGAGGAGCACGAAGGUUAGCUAAUCCUGGUCGGACAUCAGGAGGUUAGUGCAAUGGCAUAAGCUAGCUUGACUGCGAGCGUGACGGCGCGAGCAGGUGCGAAAGCAGGUCAUAGUGAUCCGGUGGUUCUGAAUGGAAGGGCCAUCGCUCAACGGAUAAAAGGUACUCCGGGGAUAACAGGCUGAUACCGCCCAAGAGUUCAUAUCGACGGCGGUGUUUGGCACCUCGAUGUCGGCUCAUCACAUCCUGGGGCUGAAGUAGGUCCCAAGGGUAUGGCUGUUCGCCAUUUAAAGUGGUACGCGAGCUGGGUUUAGAACGUCGUGAGACAGUUCGGUCCCUAUCUGCCGUGGGCGCUGGAGAAUUGAGGGGGGCUGCUCCUAGUACGAGAGGACCGGAGUGGACGCAUCACUGGUGUUCGGGUUGUCAUGCCAAUGGCACUGCCCGGUAGCUAAAUGCGGAAGAGAUAAGUGCUGAAAGCAUCUAAGCACGAAACUUGCCCCGAGAUGAGUUCUCCCUGAGACUUUAAGUCUCCUGAAGGAACGUUGAAGACGACGACGUUGAUAGGCCGGGUGUGUAAGCGCAGCGAUGCGUUGAGCUAACCGGUACUAAUGAACCGUGAGGCUUAACCUU